UACAAUCCUUGUGGAGACGAUAACUUGAUACUUACUUAUUACUUGAUAACGACUGUGUACACUUGUACAAACCUACGCAUUAGAGAGGGCAACUUUGGUGCCAGCAGCUGCGGUAAUUCCAGCUCCAAUAGCAUAUAUUUAAGUUAUUACAGUUAAAAGCUCGUAAUUGGACUUAAGGUUGGGUCAGUUGGUUCGCCUUAUGGUGAGCAUCAAUUUUCUCGUCUCUACUACCGACGAUGCACUCUUAGCCUUAAUUGGUCUAGUCGUUCCUCUAGCAUUGUCACUUUGAAGAAAUUAGAGUACUCAAUGCAAGCCUACGGUUGUAUCCAUUAGCAUGGGAUAACAUCAUAGGAUUUUGAUCCUAUUGUGUCAGCCUUUGGAAUUGGAGUAAUGAUUAACAGAGACAGUUGGGGGCAUUUGUAUUUCAUAGUCAGAAGUGAAAUUCUUGGUUUUAUGAAAGACGAACAACUACAAAAGCAUUUGCCAAUGAUGUUUUCGUUAAUCAAGAAUGAAUGUUGGGGCCUCGAAGGUGAUCUAAUACCGUCAACCAUAAACGAUGUCAACCAAGGAUCAGCGGAUGUUGCUUUUAGGACUCCACUAGCACCUCAUGAGAAAUCAAAGUCUUUGGGCUCUGGGGAGCAUGGUCGCAAAACUUAAAAGAAUUGACAAAAGGGCACCAUUAGGAGUAGAGCCUACAGCUUAAUUUGACUCAACAGGAGGAAACUUAACAGGUCCAGACAUAGUAAGAAUUGACAAAUUGAGAGCUCUUUCUUGAUUCUAUGGGUGGUGGUGCAUGGCCGUUCUUAGUUGGUGGAGCGAUUUUUCUAGUUAAUUCUGUUAAAGAACAAGACCUCAGCCUGCUAACUAGCUACACUGAAGUGAUUCUCCACAGCUAGCUUUUUAAAGGGACUAUGGCCUUUUAGGCCAAGGAAGUUUGAGGCAAUAGUAGGUCUGUUAUGCCCUUAUAUGUUCUAGGCCACAUGCGUGCUACACUGAUGUAUUCAAUGAGUCUAUACCUUUGGCCACAGGCCGGAGAAAUCUUUGAAAUUUCAUCGUGAUAGGGAUAGAUCAUUGCAAUUAUUGGUCUUCAACGAGGAAUUCCUAGUAAGUGCGAGUCAUCAGCUAGCGAUGACUAUGUCCUUACCCUUUGUACACAUCGCCUGUUACUCUUACCAAUUGAACGGUCCAAUGAAGCUUUUGGAUCACGGUGACGUAGACGAUUCGCUGCCCGCGACGUCACAAGAAGUUCACUAAAUCUUAUCAUUUAGUGGAAGGAUAAGUCAUAACAAGGUUUCCCAACAAGCCAAGC
rnacentral:ncRNA from 1 species